GGCGCCUUCGGGGCGUUUCCGCGGAGAGGGUACCGCGGCUGUGGUCUCGUCCGGCUGACUUGCUCGGCCCGGACUCUUGCCCAGGUGUCUCUUACUGGGCGAAGCAGAACAGUGGCCCUGUCCAAGGGCAGGGCGACGCGGAAACCGAAAGCUCCCACUGCGGGUGGUGGUCGAGGCCGUGUCGCCCGCACUUGGGAGGGACCGGUGGAGGAGCUGCGACAGGACAAUGCAAGGAGCCGUUCCAGGUAGAGGAAGCAUCAUCGCUGAAGCAAGGAGACAAGAGAGGACUGGACGCUGCGUAACAGGAAAUUGUAGCCUGUCACUGUGGAGCGCACUCACUCACUGCCUUCAGACCAUGUGGGCGGCUUCGUAACGUCCCUCUGAGCCUCGCUCCACAUCUUGGUUUGGGUGAGCCUGGUUUGCAAACUAUCCUUCUGCACCAGGCCCGAGACUCCGAACCUCCUCUUCCCGUCGGAACUGACACUGGGAGCCCUUACGAUGUGCCACGUGCGCUGUGUCUGUGAUACUAUCUGACCCUCACGGCAUCCCAGGAGGUCACCUUUAGUAUCUGCAUUUACAGACGAAGAAACCAAAGCACUGACAGUACGUGAUGUGUCCAAGGCGGUGGUUCUCAGUGGGGUGACAUUUGGCAAUGUCUAGACAUUUGUGGUUGUCAUAGCCCACCCAGGGGCCCCUCCUGACCUCUGGCGGGCAGAAGGCACUGCUGGACGUCCUCCAGUGCCCGGGGCAACUCUGCCCCAGGGAGUGGUCCUCCCCAAAUGUCCUUAGUGCUAAGGUGCAGAAACCCUGGUCCAAGGUCUGCAGCUCCUCCCGGGCUGAGUGCAGGCUUGAGCCCUGAGCUCUCAGCCACGUUGCUCUGUAAUCACCAGCCGGGUUGCACUUGUGUGGCAGCUGAGGCUCGGGCGGCUGAGGGCAAAGGCUCAGAGCUGGCACCGCCCCUGUGGGCGCCCUCAGCCCUGCCUCCCCCCAACCCCAGCUGGGCCGUGUCGGUUUCGCUCACGGCCCCUCCUCCGCCACCCUGCCCUUAGCUGUGGUGGGCUACCAGGAGAGUCGUCGCCCAGCAAGGGUUCUCCCGAGCGAAAGAGGCACCUGCUGCAUUGAGGCAGUACGGUGAGUAUGAUCUAGGAUUGCCCCCGAUCACAAGGACGUGGGGCCCCUGCUCCCGGCCCCUCUCUCUCUCCCUGAGCAGAUUCACUCCCAUCUGUUCACCAAGGAGUCUGGACAUGACGUGGCCUCCAGCCCAGACCCACGGCACAACUGCAUGCGACAUCCCACGGACAUCACCAGAUUUGCCCUUUCUGGACAUUUCGUACCAGUGGCUCGCACAGUAGGUGGUCCUUGGUGCCUGGCUCCUUUCACUUAGCAUCAUGUUUUCAAAGUCCAUCCAUGUUGUGUUGGUGCUUCGUUCCUUUUUACGGCUGAACAAUGUUCCAUGGUGUGGAUGUGCCACACUGUGUUUGUCACUUAUCUGUGGACAUGCGUUUGGGUCAUUUGCACCUUUUGGCUAUUGUGAUUAGUGCUGCUGUGAACAUGAGCGUACAAGUAUCUGCUUGAGUCCCUGCUUUCACAUAACUGCCAGAUCAUGCGGAAACUCUAACUUGCUGAGAAACUGCCAAACUGUCUUCAACGGUGGCUGCCCCAUUUUACACUCUCACCAGCAACGUACAGGGCUCUGGUUUCUCCACACCCACGUCAACACUUGUUAUUUUCCAUUUUUUAAUUUUUAUUUAUUUUUAUUAUUUUUUGGUGGGGGAGGUAAUUAGGUUUUUAUUUAUUUUAAUGGAGAUCCUGGGGAUUGAACCCAGGACCUCGUGCAUGUUAAGCAUGCACUGUACUGCUGAGCUACACCCCCCAGUUUUGAUUUUUUUCAAUUUUUAAUUAUAGCACCUAGCAGGUGUAACAUGGUGUUUCACUGUGAGUUUGAUUUACGUUUCCCUGAGGACUGAUGAUAUUGAACAUCUUUUCACCUGCUCAUUGGCCAUUUGUAAAUCUUUUCUGAAGAAAUAUCAGUGUGGAUUUGAUGGUCACCUUGCCCGUGAUUCCUUAUGUGGUGGUGGUUGUUUCAGAUCUCAGUCCUGCCAUGAUCACUGUGCUCUUGGGAAAGCCUUUCUACAGAGCCCAGCGUCAGACCCUGGAGCUGGAGCUUUCUGGGAACCUGACUCCACACAGCCCCCACACCUGUGCUGCUGCUCCCCCCGCCCAGUGGCAGACAUCACCAAUCAACUGUGGCCCCUGCACGCCCGGACAUUUAUUCACUGGGCCCAGCAGCUGGGCAAUUGGAUGGGUAUCUGCCCUGGGGAGCUCAUUACGAGGAGAAGAAGAAGAGAUGAGUGGACCUAGGUUUUCAGGAGCUCAGGCAGAAGUCUACACUGGGGACAGGGCACCCCGGGGGGGUUCUGUUGUACCCAAGGGGGCACAGAGGCAGUGGUUGGGGUUUGGGGGGCUGGUAAAUAGUACCCUGCGCACAUUCUGAACCAAGUGAGACGAGACACAAAGACAAACAGAUCAAAUUGUCAGCUUUAUUACUGAUAAAGCCAGGCUGACCCACAAUGAGAUAUCCUGCACACCCAGUAGAACGGCUAUAACCGAAAACACAGGUGAUGACAGAUGUUGACAAAGAUGUGCAGAAAUGGGAAUCCUCAAGCCCUGCUGGCGAAGACAAGAUGGGACAGCCGCUGUGGAAAACAAUCCAGUGGCUCCUCAGUUAAGCACAGAGUUACCACGUGACCCACCAGUUCCACGUCUAAGGGCACAUCCUAGAGAACUGAGAACACAUUCCCGUAAAAACUUGUCCACAAACGUUCAUAGCGCCACAAUUCAUGCCAUGAAAGAGUGGAAACAAGCAAAGGCCCAUCAACUGAUGAAUACAUGAAGCGUGGUCUGUCCAUUCUCGUCAUAUAAAGAGAAUGGAGACCCAGCGCCUGCUACAACACGAUGACUUGUGACAACAUUACGCAAGACGAAAGAAGCCCGUCACAAAAGGCCGCAUGUUAUGUGAUUCCACUUACAUGAAAGGUUCAGGACAGGCAAAUUCAUAGAGACAGGAAGUAGAUUAGUAGCCGGGCAAGGCUGAGGGGAGGGAAGGCAAGGAAGUUAACUGUUAAGGGGUAUGAGGUGUGGACAAAGAGUGUCACUUGCCAUCUCAGUGCACAAAGGAUGCUGCGGCCAUCAAGCCCUCAGCCGCUGCAGCCACCCCGGCUGUGCACCCCGAGGGGAUUCAGGACAGAGGAAAACAGGACACUGGCCCUAGAGAGUUAAGACACACAUCAAAGGAAUGAUUCCAUUAAGCCCAGAUGCCGGCACCUUCCCGUAUGUAGAGAAGUGCUAAGUUCAUUAACUUGAGAUGUCUGGUUUUCUCUAACUGGCAGUAAUCUUUUGAUGUUUGACUACCUGAUUGUUCGUUUUGACUUUGUUUUGUUUUUUGUUGGGGUUUUGUUUGUUUGUUUUGCCAAACUUCCUGUAUCUCCUGGCUCCUCCCUUGCCUGUUUGGGACAGUCCCACAGAGCUCUGUGAGAGGCUGUCUCCCGGCCUUAAGUCCUCAGCAAGUCCGCUGAAUAAAGCAUAAUUUUCAGCUUU